AUUGAACGCUGGCGGCAGGCCUAACACAUGCAAGUCGAGCGGAUGAAGGGAGCUUGCUCCUGGAUUCAGCGGCGGACGGGUGAGUAAUGCCUAGGAAUCUGCCUGGGAGUGGGGGAUAACGUCCGGUAACGGGCGCUAAUACCGCAUACGUCCUGAGUGAGAAAGUGGGGGAUCUUCGGACCUCACGCUAUCAGAUGAGCCUAGGUCGGAUUAGCUAGUUGGUGGGGUAACGGCCUACCAAGGCGACGAUCCGUAACUGGUCUGAGAGGAUGAUCAGUCACACUGGAACUGAGACACGGUCCAGACUCCUACGGGAGGCAGCAGUGGGGAAUAUUGGACAAUGGGCGAAAGCCUGAUCCAGCCAUGCCGCGUGUGUGAAGAAGGUCUUCGGAUUGUAAAGCACUUUAAGUUGGGAGGAAGGGCAGUAAGUUAAUACCUUGCUGUUUUGACGUUACCAACAGAAUAAGCACCGGCUAACUUCGUG
rnacentral:rRNA from 1 species